GGGUUGUGAGGUUAAGCGACUAAGCGUACACGGUGGAUGCCCUGGCAGUCAGAGGCGAUGAAGGGCGUGCUAAUCUGCGAUAAGCGCCGGUAAGGUGAUAUGAACCAUUAUAACCGGCGAUACCCG
rnacentral:rRNA from 1 species